GAUGAACGCUAGCUACAGGCUUAAUACAUGCAAGUCGUACGCACUGGCCCAACUGAUUGAUGGUGCUUGCACCUGAUUGACGAUGGAUCACCAGUGAGUGGCGGACGGGUGAGUAACACGUAGGUAACUUGCCCCGGAGCGGGGGAUAACAUUUGGAAACAGAUGCUAAUACCGCAUAACAACAAAAGCCACAUGGCUUUUGUUUGAAAGAUGGCUUUGGCUAUCACUCUGGGAUGGACCUGCGGUGCAUUAGCUAGUUGGUAAGGUAAUGGCUUACCAAGGCGAUGAUGCAUAGCCGAGUUGAGAGACUGAUCGGCCACAAUGGAACUGAGACACGGUCCAU
rnacentral:rRNA from 1 species